ensembl:lincRNA
CUGUGCCCUCCCAGCCCUGUCCUGGUGAUGGGAUGCUGAAAGGUCCCCAGGGAGCCCAUUUCUCCUCCAGCCUGGACUACGGAACUCCCGGGGCCUUACUUAGGCCUCCUGUCAGACCCGUCUCCUGAGAACUAACCCUGCCGGGGAGGCGUGUGUGCCUGGGCAUGAAGACCUCAUCCGCCAGCCUGUGCUCAUGGCUCUGCCCCAGCAUUCAGGAGGCGCCUGCAUGGGGUGGGGGCUUCCCAGGUGGCGCAGAGGUAAAGAGCCUGCCUGCCAGCGCAGGGGAUGCAGGAGGCUGCGGGUCCAAGUCUUGGGUCGGAAGGCCCGCUGGAGCAGGAGCUGCCAGCCCGCUCAAGUGUUCCGGUAUGCAGAAUCCCAUGGACCUAGGAGCCUGGAGGACUGCAGUCCAUGGGAUCGCGAAAAGGCGAAUACGACUGAGCAUGCGCACAGGCGGAAGCCUUCAAGGAACAGGCGCUCGAUAACUGGGGGAGAAGGAAGGCGUCCAGGCAGCAGGGAACCGCCUCCUGUGCCCUCCCCAGCGGUGGGUGCCAUCAGGCCACUUCCCACCUCUUUCUUCCUCCUCAUCUCCUUCCAGGGUGCACUCCCCAGCAGGGCAUUCAGUGUGUGUGUGUGUGUGUAUGUGUGUGGCACGCGCACACUUGAGCCCCUGUGCGGAUGCCCAAAGGAAAGGGUCCCACGUGGGAGGGGUGGGCAGGGUACCCCAGGACCUCAGGCCGUCUGGUUCCCAGAGCAAACCCCACGGCAGGGCUGAAGCCCGGCCUCGGAGCCUGGAAGCCUGCCUUCCCCUCUGCGAGGGGCUCUCCUGGCCUGUUUCCUAACUGUCCCGUGAGGGCUUGGACAAGGACUGCUCAGGAGGCUCAGGGCGCUCACUGCGCUGACUCUCCCUCCUGGGGGCUGGGGGUGCGCUGCAGGCUCUCAGCCCUCCCCGCGCGCCUCGGGACGGGGUGCGGGGUGAGCCGCCAGGGGGCGGGGCCUCGGUCACCCCUCCCACGCGGCCGCACCGCGCACGCGCGUCCCCCUCCCGCCCCGCGCGCGCCGCCAACGGCCCCUCUGGUCGUGACCGGCCGCCGGCCCCCCAGUCGGCUGCGCUGGGGCCUGUGUCCCCUGGAGCUCCGACUCCGCCCCCGCCGCAGCCAGGCCGGCCGCCGAGCGCUGGGCCGGGUGCUCCUGGAGAGCAGGAGGCAGGCCAGUCCCCGCGCAAACCCCCAGCCCUCCGUCUGGACCCCAGGGCCCGGCUGGGCUGACAUGGAUGCAGGGCGUCCCUCACCUGCUGGUUGGAGAGCAGCGAGAAGCUGGCGUGGCAGACCCUGA